rnacentral:rRNA from 1 species
GACGAACGCUGGCGGCGUGCCUAAUACAUGCAAGUAGAACGCACAGUUUAUACCGUAGCUUGCUACACCAUAGACUGUGAGUUGCGAACGGGUGAGUAACGCGUAGGUAACCUGCCUGGUAGCGGGGGAUAACUAUUGGAAACGAUAGCUAAUACCGCAUAAUAUUAAUUAUUGCAUGAUAAUUGAUUGAAAGAUGCAACUGCAUCACUACCAGAUGGACCUGCGUUGUAUUAGCUAGUAGGUGAGGUAACGGCUCACCUAGGCGACGAUACAUAGCCGACCUGAGAGGGUGAUCGGCCACACUGGGACUGAGACACGGCCCAGACUCCUACGGGAGGCAGCAGUAGGGAAUCUUCGGCAAUGGACGAAAGUCUGACCGAGCAACGCCGCGUGAGUGAAGAAGGUUUUCGGAUCGUAAAGCUCGGUUGUAAGAGAAGAACGGGUGUGAGAGUGGAAAGUUCACACUGUGACGGUAUCUUACCAGAAAGGGACGGCUAACUACGUG